rnacentral:misc_RNA from 1 species
CUAAAUCGAUAUUAAUUCACCACCCACCCACCAAUUCCACUGAACAGUUCCUACAAAGCAUCAGAAAUAUAGCUGCCUGCAUUGUGCAAACGAUACCUGAGUUGGGCAGUAAGGACACUUGAAUGUCCGUGAGCUACCUUUAGACAUUUUGGUGAUUGAUUGCUUGCAGAGAACAUGCAGACAUGGCAUCAGCAUUGGUGGAUUAUCUUCACUUCCUUGCUCCCUACUUACAGGACAAACGAAAAUCGAAGGGAACUGAUAUUCUCUCCCCAAUUCAACUGGCACUGGGAGCUGUUUCAUUGCCAGCCACUCUUGCCUUUUUGCAGCCAUCACGUUUGCCAGCUUCAAUAGAGUUGGCAACCCCUCAAUCCCAGCUGCCAUUGCCAAGGUCAAUGGGCUCCCACAGGAAUGUCCUAAAAGAUUGCAGAAAUCCCGAGUUAGCUCAUCAGACAACUUUUCCCAAUGAGUUGGAUCCAACAACUCGGAAUGAGGAUUGCUUUCAAGCUUCCCUAUCCAACAGAUGCAAACCACGAGCUUCUGAAUUUCUCUCAUAUGAAGCGAAGCUAAAGGAGAAAGGAAAGUUCUGGCAUAAUUAAGGGCAGCAGCACGAUUUCCCCCCUUCAAAAUCUCCAAAAACUGUAGGCGGUGAAUUUUAAUCUCCAGAUUUGAACCAUUCAGCUGGAGCUUUUCACGGUUGGUAGAAGCCCAUUUAAGAGCAGGUUCAAGGUUUUUAACCUUAAUAGCAUCAAGUAUUUGAUGCAAUUCCAAGAAUUGAGAUCUUAAAGCUGUUGCUUCUGGUUCUCCAGCUUCAUUUAUUAGGCAAUCUCCAAGAUCAAAUUGGCCUUGCCGGUAAAAAUGGCUUGCUAUUAUCUGAUUCACUAUAUGGAAGUCAAAGUC